rnacentral:rRNA from 1 species
UAGCCCAGAGAAAUUUGGAUUAAUGCCCCCAUAGUAUAUGUUAUUCGCAUGUUUGACAUAUUAAAGUUCCAACGGUAAAAGAUGAGCAUGCGUCCCAUUAGUUAGUUGGUAAGGUAACGGCUUACCAAGACGAUGAUGGGUAGGGGUCCUGAGAGGGAGAUCCCCCACACUGGUACUGAGACACGGACCAGACUCCUACGGGAGGCAGCAGUGAGGAAUAUUGGACAAUGGGCGCAAGCCUGAUCCAGCCAUGCCGCGUGCAGGAAGACGGUCCUAUGGAUUGUAAACUGCUUUUGUACGGGAAGAAACACUCCUACGUGUAGGAGCUUGACGGUACCGUAAGAAUAAGGAUCGGCUAACUCCGUGCCAGCAGCCGCGGUAAUACGGAGGAUCCAAGCGUUAUCCGGAAUCAUUGGGUUUAAAGGGUCCGUAGGCGGUUUAGUAAGUCAGUGGUGAAAGCCCAUCGCUCAACGAUGGAACGGCCAUUGAUACUGCUAGACUUGAAUUACUAGGAAGUAACUAGAAUAUGUAGUGUAGCGGUGAAAUGCUUAGAUAUUACAUGGAAUACCAAUUGCGAAGGCAGGUUACUACUAGUGGAUUGACGCUGAUGGACGAAAGCGUGGGGAGCGAACAGGAUUAGAUACCCUGGUAGUCCACGCCGUAAACGAUGGAUACUAGCUGUUGGGGGCAACUUCAGUGGCUAAGCGAAAGUGAUAAGUUCCCACC